rnacentral:rRNA from 1 species
AUUUCCUUCGGGACUGAUUAUUUUGUGACUGAGUGGCGGACGGGUGAGUAACGCGUGGGUAACCUGCCUUUCAGAGGGGGACAACAGUUGGAAACGACUGCUAAUACCGCAUAAGCGCACAGUUCCGCAUGGAACGGUGUGAAAAACUCCGGUGGUGUGAGAUGGACCCGCGUCUGAUUAGCUGGUUGGCAGGGUAACGGCCUACCAAGGCGAUGAUCAGUAGCCGGUCUGAGAGGAUGAACGGCCACAUUGGGACUGAGACACGGCCCAAACUCC